rnacentral:misc_RNA from 1 species
UCCUCUUGAUCUUCAAAUGGGUAUGCUCCAACAAGCAUAACAUACAGAGUCACUCCACAGGACCAUACAUCUGCCAUCUUGCCGUCGUAUUCUCUCCUAGAAAGAACCUCUGGGGCAAUAUAUGCUGGAGUGCCAACUGUGGAUUUGGGUCUUGAAUGCAGCAAUGAUGACUUAGAAUAACCAAAGUCACAGAUUUUCAGUCGUGGUGCUGGGCUUCCGUCCAGCAAGGUAUUUUCUAGCUUCAAAUCUCUAUGGCAAAUUUGCAAAGCAUGGCAGUAACUGACUCCUGAAAUAAGCUGUUGAAAAAAGUAUCUAGCCUCAUCUUCGCUGAAUCUUCCAGCAUUGCAGAUUCGCUCAAAAAGCUCUCCUCCUGCAGCAUAUUCCAUAACAAUGGCGAGAUGGGUUGGUGUCAAAACCACCUCCUUGAAGCGAAUUAUGUGUGGGUGGCUAAGCGAUCUGUGAUUUAUGAUCUCCCUUGCCACAUUCUCAUCAAUCUUGUGGCCGCGCUCGAUGUACUUCAUAGCGACGAGCUCUUUGGUCUCCUUGUUCCUCAUGAGCCUGGCCACUCCAAAAUUCCCAGAUCCUAUAUCUUUCACAAGCUCGUACUUAUCCAUUUUUUUACUUCUUUUAUUUCCC